GACAGAGGUGCCGAGCGUUAGGCGGAAUCAUUGGGCUUAAAGCGUGUGUAGGCGGGUCGUUAAGUGCCUUGUGAAAUCCCACCGCUCACCGGUGGAACUGCUUGGCAUACUGGCGGUCUUGAGCCACUUAGGGGCAACCGGAACAAACGGUGGAGCGGUGAAAUGCGUAGAUAUCGUUUGGAACGCCAAAGGUGAAAACAGACAGCUGGGAGUGUGCUGACGCUGAGACACGAAAGCCAGGGGAGCGAACGGG
rnacentral:rRNA from 1 species